AUGUUCCUUCCAUUUUUGCUGCUGCUGGCAGCUUCAUCCUAUGUGGACUGUGCAGUAGAACUCACUCAGGUCACCUCAGUGAUGUUAAAGCCAGGAGAUUCUUUAACCCUCAGCUGUAAAGUAUCCGGCUACUCUGUUACUGACAACAGCUAUGCCACGGCUUGGAUCCGACAACCUGCAGGAAACACUCUGGAAUGGAUAAACGACAUCUGGGGUGGUGGAGCAAUUGGUUCUAAAGAUUCUCUAAAAAACAAGUUCAGUAUUUCUAAAGACGGCUCCAGCAGCACGGUAACUCUGAGAGGACAGAAUCUGCAGACUGAAGACACAGCUGUGUAUUACUGCGCUCGCCACACACACUGAUGCUUCUGUUGAGGUGUCAAUACAAAAACACACGCAUGCUGUUGUCAAAAGUUUAUCUCACAUUUUCAUCAUCAGUGUUGAAGAACAAAGGAAACAUUGAGACAAAAACUGAACUGUAUGACUUUCCUCAAUGCUGAGAAGAACAUCUGGAAAAAGGAACAUUACAUGAAAUCUCACUAUUUUCUUUCUUAUUUUUGAAAUCUGUGUGAAACAUCCACCAUCCAAAUCAUGUGUCAGUUGUUCCUAUGGAAUGAUAAACGAUUACAAUUUAUAAUUAAUAUUAACCUGUGUGUUGCCUUUCUAUAGUAA